rnacentral:rRNA from 1 species
GUCCACGCCCUAAACGAUGUCAACUGGGUGUUGGGGAAGCGAUUUCUCAGUACCGAAGCUAACGCGUGAAGUUGACCGCCUGGGGAGUACGGCCGCAAUGUUAAAACUCAAAGGAAUUGACGGGGACCCGCACAAGCGGUGGAUGAUGUGGAUUAAUUCGAUGCAACGCGAACAACCUUACCUACCCUUGACAUGUCCGGAAGCCUGCCGAGAGGCGGGGGUGCUCGAAAGAGAACCGGAACACAGGUGCUGCAUGGCUGUCGU